UACGUAGGGUGCAAGCGUUGUCCGGAAUUAUUGGGCGUAAAGAGCUCGUAGGCGGUCUGUCGCGUCGGCUGUGAAAACUCGGGGCUCAACUCCGAGCUUGCAGUCGAUACGGGCAGGCUAGAGUUCGGCAGGGGAGACUGGAAUUCCUGGUGUAGCGGUGGAAUGCGCAGAUAUCAGGAGGAACACCGAUGGCGAAGGCAGAUCUCUGGGCCGUAACUGACGCUGAGGAGCGAAAGCGUGGGGAGCAAACAGG
rnacentral:rRNA from 1 species